UGAUUUUUAUACAUUGAAUUUUAUGUGUUUUAUGUUAUUUAUUAUAUUUAUGUUUUUUAUGCUGUAUCUGUUUCUUUGAAUGUUUGUCCAACUCUUAACAUAUGUUUCAAAAUCAUGAUCUUUCUGCUACUUUAUUCUCAAACACUAUGCAAUUUUUCUGCCAUAUGCAUCUUUUUGUUUGAUACAUCAUACAUAAUCAUUUACAAAAAAAAAUACAAUAAAUUUUAACAUUGCAAUAGAU
rnacentral:misc_RNA from 1 species